GUCUAUGGCCAUGCCACCCUGAACAAGCCCAAUCCUGUCUGAUCUUGGAAGCUAAGCAGGGUCAGGCUUGGUUAAUACUUGGAUGGGAGACCAGGUGCUGUAGGCA
rnacentral:rRNA from 1 species